UCCUACGGGAGGCAGCAGUGGGGAAUAUUGCACAAUGGGGGAAACCCUGAUGCAGCCAUGCCGCGUGUGUGAAGAAGGCCUUCGGGUUGUAAAGCACUUUCAGUGGUGAGGAAAGGGUGAUAGUUAAUAGCUAUCACAGUUGACGUUAGCCACAGAAGAAGCACCGGCUAACUCCGUGCCAGCAGCCGCGGUAAUACGGAGGGUGCAAGCGUUAAUCGGAAUUACUGGGCGUAAAGCGUACGUAGGCGGUGUGUUAAGCUAGAUGUGAAAGCCCCGGGCUCAACCUGGGAAUAGCAUUUAGAACUGGCACGCUAGAGUCCUGAAGAGGGUGGUAGAAUUUCCAGUGUAGCGGUGAAAUGCGUAGAUAUUGGAAGGAAUACCGGUGGCGAAGGCGGCCACCUGGUCAGAGACUGACGCUGAGGUACGAAAGCGUGGGGAGCAAACAGGAUUAAAUACCCUGGUAGUCCACGCCGUAAACGAUGUCAACUAGUUGUUCGUGUCAUUAAGACGUGAGUAACGCAGCUAACGCACUAAGUUGACCGCCUGGGGAGUACGGCCGCAAGGUUAAAACUCAAAUGAAUUGACAG
rnacentral:rRNA from 1 species